rnacentral:rRNA from 1 species
UACGUAGGCAGCAAGCGUUGUUCGGAGUUACUGGGCGUAAAGGGUGCGUAGGCGGUUCUGUAAGUAUGGUGUGAAAUCUCCCGGCUUAACUGGGAGGGUGCGCUAUAAACUGCGGGGCUAGAGUGUGGGAGAGGAAAGUGGAAUUCCUGGUGUAGCGGUGAAAUGCGUAGAUAUCAGGAGGAACACCGGUGGUGUAAACGGCUUUCUGGACCAUAACUGACGCUGAAGCACGAAAGCGUGGGUAGCAAACAGG